CCUACGGGGGGCUGCAGUGAGGAAUUUUGCGCAAUGGCCGCAAGUCUGACGCAGCAACGCCGCGUGGGUGAUGAAGGCCUUCGGGUCGUAAAGCCCUGUCAGGUGGGAAGAAAGGCCUUGAUAAGAAACGGUUGAGGUUUGACGGUACCACCCGAGGAAGCACCGGCUAACUCCGUGCCAGCAGCCGCGGUAAUACGGAGGGUGCGAGCGUUGUUCGGAAUUACUGGGCGUAAGGCGCGAAGAGGCAGGUGAAAGCCCUGGGCUUAACCUGGGAAGUGCAUUGGAAACUGCAUUGCUUGAGUACUGGAGAGGAAGGGGGAAUUCCCGGUGUAGAGGUGAAAUGCGUAGAGAUCGGGAGGAAUACCAGUGGCGUAGGCGCCCUGCUGGACGGUAACUGACGCUGAGACGCGAAAGCGUGGGGAGCAAACAGGAUUAGAUACCCCAGUAGUC
rnacentral:rRNA from 1 species